CACCAACUCUGGUUGUCCAUGG
rnacentral:siRNA from 1 species